UGGUAAUGCCGGAUGUUCCAGUUGAUCGCAUGGUCUUCUGGGAAAGCUUUCGCGGUAUGGGAUGGGGUCGCGUCCUAUCAGCUUGACGGCGGGGUAACGGCCCACCGUGGCUUCGACGGGUAGCCGGCCUGAGAGGGCGACCGGCCACAUUGGGACUGAGAUACGGCCCAGACUCCUACGGGAGGCAGCAGUGGGGAAUAUUGCACAAUGGGCGCAAGCCUGAUGCAGCGACGCCGCGUGAGGGAUGGAGGCCUUCGGGUUGUAAACCUCUUUUAUCGGGGAGCAAGCGUGAGUGAGUUUACCCGUUGAAUAAGCACCGGCUAACUACGUGCCAGCAGCCGCGGUAAUACGUAGGGUGCAAGCGUUAUCCGGAAUUAUUGGGCGUAAAGGGCUCGUAGGCGGUUCGUCGCGUCCGGUGUGAAAGUCCAUCGCUUAACGGUGGAUCCGCGCCGGGUACGGGCGGGCUUGAGUGCGGUAGGGGAGACUGGAAUUCCCGGUGUAACGGUGGAAUGUGUAGAUAUC
rnacentral:rRNA from 3 species